CCCACCACAAGAUUCUUGAUAAAGGACCAGCAGCACACCCUCAUCUUCUACUGAUCCCUGCUGGUUCACUGGAGACAUUACUUACAAAAAAAACAGCACAGAGGGGACGGCUUGAGUUUGAUUUCACAGAGUUGAUCACACAGUGUGCUGCCCUCUGGGUUCAAAAAGAAGUGGACAUGUCCAGUUGCUGCAGGAAGAAGCAUUAGUGAACAAUGGCACCAGCACAGCGGUGAUGUUAGAAGUACAUGGCUGAGAAUAUGGGAGGCAACAUGAUGAAAACAGGCUGGCAGCAUCAAGUCCAGCUUUUCUGAGUCAGACCCAAGUGGGAUGGAGUUUGGAGAAGCUGCGUGCCAUUUCUUCUCCUUCUUCUUCUUCUUAUCCCCCCAUGUGGCAGCAGAUGGGGCUCCC